AACGAACGCUGGCGGCGUGGAUAAGACAUGCAAGUCGAACGGAAAAUGAGCAUAGCUUGCUAAGCUCAUUUUAGUGGCGGACGGGUUAGUAACACGUGAGAUACAUACCCUUUAGACAGGAAUAGCCCAUGGAAACGUGGAUUAAUGCCUGAUAGUCUCUACGGAGUAAAGGAUGCCUUCGGGUGUCGCUAAGGGAUUGGCUCGCGGCCUAUCAGCUAGUUGGUGAGGUAAAGGCUCACCAAGGCGACGACGGGUAGCUGGUCUGAGAGGACGAUCAGCAACACUGGAACUGAGACACGGUCCAG
rnacentral:rRNA from 1 species